GCGCGAAAACUUUACAAUGCUGGCAACAGCGAUAAGGGAACCUCGAGUGCCAGGUUACAAAUCUGGCUGUCGAGAUGCCUAAAAAGCAUUUCAUAGCAAGGGCCGGGCAAGACCGGUGCCAGCCGCCGCGGUAACACCGGCGGCUCGAGUGGUAACCGUUAUUAUUGGGUCUAAAGGGCCUGUAGCCGGCCGGAUAAGUCUCUUGGGAAAUCUGGCAGCUCAAUUGUCAGGCUUUCAGGAGAUACUGUCUGGCUCGAGGCCGGGAGAGGUGAGAGGUACUUCAGGGGUAGGGGUGAAAUCUUGUAAUCCUUGAAGGACCACCAGUGGCGAAGGCGUCUCACCAGAACGGACCUGACGGCAAGGGACGAAAGCUAGGGGCACGAACCG
rnacentral:rRNA from 1 species